AUAAUCGCUAUUGAAAAGUUAUAUAGAAAAAUAACAAAUAACACGGAAGUCUUCCACUGUAUCCUAUGACUUCCUGGUCAACUAUUAUGACCUCCUGAUCCUUGUUAUGAUGUCUUAUUAUGUUAUUACGACAUCCUAAACUUUGUUUGACUUAUCACUAUGAUGGGAAGUAAUAAUGAAAAACUAGAAAGUUAUAAAUAGGCAACAGAAUAUCAUAAUCGCUAUCAAAAAGUCAUAUAACAAAACAGC
rnacentral:lncRNA from 1 species